GUUAACCUACGGGGCGCAGCAGUAGGGAAUUUUCGUCAACGGGCGCAAGCCUGAACGAGCAAUGCCGCGUGAACGAGGAAGGUCUUCGGAUCGUAAAGUUCUGUUGAAGGGGAAAAAGAGCGGAGAGAGGAGGUGGUCUCCGAUUGAUAUUACCCUUCGAGGAAGUCACGGCUAACUACGUGCCAGCAGCCGCGGUAAUACGUAGGUGGCGAGCGUUAUCCGGAAUGAUUGGGCGUAAAGGGUGCGUAGGCGGCCUGCUAAGUCUGGAGUGAAAGGUACCGGCUCAACCGGUACAGGCACUGGAA
rnacentral:rRNA from 1 species